rnacentral:misc_RNA from 1 species
UCUCUCUCUCUCUCUCUCUCUCAUCUCUUAAAUCUCCAAGAAAACAUCAAACUAAUCCAAGUGGACAUAAAGGAAAAUUGAAAUUUCUUUGCUUUCCCUUCUCUUUCUCUCUAUAUGCAUAUAUAUCUUCCCAUGUCGUACGCAUAAUUCUUAACCCUAAACGGCUAAACCAAAACUGAAGAGACCAACCAAAAAGACAACAACAAACACCCCACAAAUAUGCCUGCUGCAGCUUCCCAGCAACUCCAAAGAAUCUCCGCCACAACCACCGCUCUACCUUGCCACAAGCAGUCUCAACCCACCGUCAACAUAUGGCGGGUUCCCCUCAUUUGGGAUACUUCUUCGCUUCCUGAUUACGUUUCUUGCUACCAUACUCGCACCGUAGGACCUAACCAGUGCUGCUCCGCUGUCGUCAAGACCAUAAAUGCACCUGUCUCCACCGUCUGGUCGGUAGUCCGCCGUUUCGAUAACCCUCAAGCUUAUAAGCACUUUGUCAAGAGCUGUCAUCUCAUAAACGGCGAUGGAGAUGUAGGCACACUCCGGCAAGUUCAUGUGGUGUCUGGACUUCCUGCUGAGUCAAGCACGGAGAGACUAGAGAUUCUUGAUGAUGAUCGCCAUGUCUUGAGCUUUAGCAUGAUUGGCGGCGACCACCGGCUAAAUAAUUACCGGUCAGUGACCACCCUCCACGCUUCUCCAGGUGAAAACGGUACGGUUGUUAUUGAAUCAUACGUAGUUGAUAUACCGGCAGGAAAUACUAAGGAGGAUACAUGUGUUUUUGCUGAUACAAUUGUAAGGUGCAACUUGGAAUCUUUGGCUCAGAUUUCUGAGAACAUGGCCAAGAAUACCCAGAUACAGAUAUCAUCACCAUCGUCGUCAUCAUCUUAAAUUGAUUGUUUUGAAACGGGUUCUUCGAUAAUUUUUUUGGUUUUCGAUUCAGGUUUGGAUUUGAUCAUCAGAUCGAUCAUAGAUUGCCAAUGCCCGAAUUGGAAAUUCGUAGAUCCGGAUAUAUAUGUAUAGGUUCUUGCAGGUGUUUAUAGUAUUUUUGUGCUUUGCCAACUUAGUUUUCCUUCGAGACUGCUACCACAUUAGCAUACAAUUAUAGUUUACAUUUCAUGUUUUACCCAUGCUCUACCUUUGUCCAUUUUCUCUUGUUAAAGUUCUUUUUCUUUUCUUGUUUUCCUUCAAGCUUGGGAGAAGGCUGUUAAUUUUGUGUGUUUCUGUACAUAUUAUUGUCUCUAAAUUACUUGUUCUUCUUUCUUGUUUCCCUUCCUCAUCUCCCUUGCCCUUAUUGUAUAUGUAUUUGCGUCUCAUACCUAUGUUAAUUUAAGAGAAUUAAGAGAUAUGUUUAUUAUUUUGCCA